rnacentral:rRNA from 1 species
CGUCGUGCUAUACAUGCAGUCGAACGAGUUCUCGUUGAUGAUCGGUGCUUGCACCAGAGAUUCAACAUGGAACGAGUGGCGGACGGGUGAGUAACACGUGGGUAACCUGCCCUUAAGUGGGGGAUAACAUUUGGAAACAGAUGCUAAUACCGCAUAGAUCCAAGAACCGCAUGGUUCUUGGCUGAAAGAUGGCGUAAGCUAUCGCUUUUGGAUGGACCCGCGGCGUAUUAGCUAGUUGGUGAGGUAAUGGCUCACCAAGGCGAUGAUACGUAGCCGAACUGAGAGGUUGAUCGGCCACAUUGGGACUGAGACACGGCCCAAACUCCUACGGGAGGGCAGCAGUAGGGAAUCUUCCACCAAUGGACGCAAGUCUGAUGGAGCAACGCCGCGUGAGUGAAGAAGGCUUUCGGGUCGUAAAACUCUGUUGUUGGAGAAGAAUGGUCGGCAGAGUAACUGUUGUCGGCGUGACGGUAUCCAACCAGAAAGCCACGGCUAACUACGUGCCAGCAGCCGCGGUAAUACGUAGGUGGCAAGCGUUAUCCGGGAUUUAUUGGGCGUAAAGCGAGCGCAGGCGGUUUUUUAAGUCUGAUGUGAAAGCCCUCGGCUUAACCGAGGAAGCGCAUCGGAAACUGGGAAACUUGAGUGCAGAAGAGGACAGUGGAACUCCAUGUGUAGCGGUGAAAUGCGUAGAUAUAUGGAAGAACACCAGUGGCGAAGGCGGCUGUCUGGUCUGUAACUGACGCUGAGGCUCGAAAGCAUGGGUAGCGAACAGGAUUAGAUACCCUGGUAGUCCAUGCCGUAAACGAUGAAUGCUAGGUGUUGGAGGGUUUCCGCCCUUCAGUGCCGCAGCUAACGCAUUAAGCAUUCCGCCUGGGGAGUACGACCGCAAAGGUUGAAACUCAAAGGAAUUGACGGGGGCCCGCACAAGCGGUGGAGCAUGUGGUUUAAUUCGAAGCAACGCGAAGAACCUUACCAGGUCUUGACAUCUUUUGAUCACCUGAGAGAUCAGGUUUCCCCUUCGGGGGCAAAAUGACAGGUGGUGCAUGGUUGUCGUCAGCUCGUGUCGUGAGAUGUUGGGUUAAGUCCCGCAACGAGCGCAACCCUUAUGACUAGUUGCCAGCAUUUAGUUGGGCACUCUAGUAAGACUGCCGGUGACAAACCGGAGGAAGGUGGGGAUGACGUCAAAUCAUCAUGCCCCUUAUGACCUGGGCUACACACGUGCUACAAUGGAUGGUACAACGAGUUGCGAGACCGCGAGGUCAAGCUAAUCUCUUAAAGCCAUUCUCAGUUCGGACUGUAGGCUGCAACUCGCCUACACGAAGUCGGAAUCGCUAGUAAUCGCGGAUCAGCACGCCGCGGUGAAUACGUUCCCGGGCCUUGUACACACCGCCCGUCACACCAUGAGAGUUUGUAACACCCGAAGCCGGUGGCGUAACCCUUUAGGGAGCGAGCCGUCUAAGGGGAACAGAA